AGAGGUCAAGUCUCAGUCCAUUUUCAUCAAUCAUAAGAAAAUGAUUGAUGAAAAUGGACUGAGAUUUGACCUCUUA